AUUGAUGGAUUAAAAAUAUAUAAGAAGAGAGAAGCUCACCCAAUCGGAUGUGUGUACGGGUAGUAGGCUUCCCAAAGUGGCAGCCGCGUGAAUGAUUCGACUGGCCAAAAUCAGCUGGCUGUGCGUGCUCCAAAACAACCCAUAAUGGUGCGUGGUUGACGUGAAAGGGCUAGCAAAUGAACUCCGGCUUCUAUGCUUGAUAUUAACCGGCUGUUGCGCUAUCAAAACAGCCCGGAUGUGUGCGAUUGAUGCGAUGAAGAGCAAGCAAAUGACCAGCUGCUGUGCUUGGAGCAAAUCUGGAUGUGCGCGGCUGAUUCUUCUCUUGUCUUUCAAUGAUGCGGCUGUUCCUGAAAUUCCCCUGAGGGUGCGGCUGCACCUUGCACCUCCAGAAGUUGCUUCUCCUCAAGGGUGCGGCUGCACCUGUGCUUGCUUUCCAACGGUUCCCCUCACGUCAAGAAUGGUGCGGCUGCCUUCUCAUGCUCAGAAAAAAUCAUCCUUUCUUGAUUUCCUUUCUUUGGCGCAGCUGGUGCUCCCUUCAAUGAUGCGCCUCUCACCUCAAAACUGAUGCGGUUGUUCUCCCUCCAAUGGUGCACCUCUCACCUCCAGACUCAUGCGGCUGUUCUCCUCAAAAAAUCCUCCUCAAGGCUGCGUCCCUCCUCCAGACUUAUGGAGGCUGUUCUCCUCAAAAAAAUCCUCCUCAAGGCUGCAUCUCCCACUUCCAGAUUCAUGCUGCUGUUCUCCUCAAAAAAUCCUCCUCAAGGCUGCGUCUCCCACCUCCAGAUUCAUGCAACUGUUAUCCUCAAAUGGUGCGCCUCUCACCAGACUUAUGGAGGCUGUUCUCCUCAAAAAAUCCUCCUCAAGGCUGCGUCUCCCACCUCCAGAUUCAUGAGGCUGUUCUCCUCAAAUGGUGCGCCUCUCACCUCUGUACCUUCUCAAUCGUGGGGUGAAUGGUCGGUGAAUCAACAAACAGUCGCAUAUGUGUGUUUCAAAACAGCAUCUUCUCACCGCUCUAAAAAAACCUACUAUCCUCUCUAACGGCAGCCUCCUAUAUCCCUUUUUUUUUUUUUUUUUUCAAAAACGGACUCAUUCCUUCUUUCCUUUUUCUUUUUUUCUUAAUCUCUUCUCAAUCCCCCAUUCAGCUCCUCUCUACAGCCAUGGUAAUGGAAGGAAGUGCAGAAACAGCCCCCUUCCUCCAUUCGGAUCACCCUCCAUCCUUUCUUCGUCAUUGGUCAAACCUCUCUUUAGUGGUGCGUUUCGUUCCU
rnacentral:lncRNA from 1 species